rnacentral:rRNA from 1 species
GAUGAACGCUAGCAGCAGGCUUAACACAUGCAAGUCGAGGGGCAGCACGAUGUAGCAAUACAUUGGUGGCGACCGGCGCACGGGUGCGUAACACGUAUGGAACUUGCCCUUUACUGGAGGAUAGCCCGGAGAAAUCCGGAUUAAUACUCCAUAACAGUCGAGGUGGCAUCACCUUGGCUUGAAAGCUCCGGCGGUAAAGGAUGGCCAUGCGCACGAUAGCUAGUUGGUGAGGUAACGGCUCACCAAGGCUACGAUCGUUAGGGGGCCUGAGAGGGUUAUCCCCA